rnacentral:rRNA from 1 species
UCGAGCGAAUGGAUUGAGAGCUUGCUCUCAAGAAGUUAGCGGCGGACGGGUGAGUAACACGUGGGUAACCUGCCCAUAAGACUGGGAUAACUCCGGGAAACCGGGGCUAAUACCGGAUAACAUUUUGAACUGCAUGGUUCGAAAUUGAAAGGCGGCUUCGGCUGUCACUUAUGGAUGGACCCGCGUCGCAUUAGCUAGUUGGUGAGGUAACGGCUCACCAAGGCAACGAUGCGUAGCCGACCUGAGAGGGUGAUCGGCCACACUGGGACUGAGACACGGCCCAGACUCCUACGGGAGGCAGCAGUAGGGAAUCUUCCGCAAUGGACGAAAGUCUGACGGAGCAACGCCGCGUGAGUGAUGAAGGCUUUCGGGUCGUAAAACUCUGUUGUUAGGGAAGAACAAGUGCUAGUUGAAUAAGCUGGCACCUUGACGGUACCUAACCAGAAAGCCACGGCUAACUACGUGCCAGCAGCCGCGGUAAUACGUAGGUGGCAAGCGUUAUCCGGAAUUAUUGGGCGUAAAGCGCGCGCAGGUGGUUUCUUAAGUCUGAUGUGAAAGCCCACGGCUCAACCGUGGAGGGUCAUUGGAAACUGGGAGACUUGAGUGCAGAAGAGGAAAGUGGAAUUCCAUGUGUAGCGGUGAAAUGCGUAGAGAUAUGGAGGAACACCAGUGGCGAAGGCGACUUUCUGGUCUGUAACUGACACUGAGGCGCGAAAGCGUGGGGAGCACACAGGAUUAGAUACCCUGGUAGUCCACGCCGUA